rnacentral:rRNA from 1 species
UACAGAGGGGGCAAGCGUUGUUCGGAAUUACUGGGCGUAAAGGGCGCGUAGGCGGCCUUCUAAGUCAGACGUGAAAUCCCUCGGCUCAACCGGGGAACUGCGUCUGAGACUGAAAGGCUUGAAUCCGGGAGAGGAAUGCGGAAUUCCAGGUGUAGCGGUGAAAUGCGUAGAUAUCUGGAGGAACACCGGUGGCGAAGGCGGCAUUCUGGACCGGCACUGACGCUGAGGAGCGAAAGCCAGGGGAGCAAACGGG